rnacentral:lncRNA from 1 species
UCCAAUAUCGCGUUAUAUCUUUUACGGCAUUAGCUUGAACAAUCUAAUGUAGGAGCACACUGCACAUCUCUCGAGUAAUAUUUUUCUAUAGUAAAUUUUGGGAUCCAUUUUACAAAUAUGAGUGUUUAAGAAAAAAGGAAAAAAUUUGUAUAAGGUAGCAACCUUAAAAUAUAGAACUACAGAUGCACCUCAAAAAUCCGUCGG